GGAGGGUUCACUUCAUUUGUCCUUCCUGCUCCAAUCUCCUUUUCCUCUCCUUCAUUUGACGGUCUUCUUUUUCUUCUGACACUGUUUUCUAUCCUUGGCUCCUUCUGCUCCUUUACCUUUCUGCUAUUUUCUGCUUAUUUUGUGCCCUUCUGCUCCUUUCUCAUUCUGAUCCAUUUCUGCUCCUUGCAGACCCUUCCUGCUCCUUUUUCUACUUUACCUUGGUGCUCCUUGCUGUCCCUUUCUGCUCCGUCUCCUACUUUACCUUUGUGCUCCUUCUGUCCCUUUCUGCUCCUUUCUGCCCCUUCCUGCUCCUUGUAGGCCCUUCCUGCUCAUUCUCCUAAUUUACGUUUGUGCUCCUUCUGUCCCUUCCAGCUCAUUUCUGACCCUUUCUGCUCCUUCUACUUUACCUUUGUGCUGCUUUACCUCCCAGCUCCUUGCUGACCCUUCCUGUUCAUUUCUGAACACCCUUGCUGACUCUUCAUGUAGACUGUCUCCCCCAUCCCUCACUUCCAUAGGCGUGCGCACGGGGUGUGUCGGGUGUGCCUGGGCACACCCUAAUCCCUGCGGCACGCCAAUGAAUUGAGAACGGCAGGCUAUCCGAGCGGCGGCUCUGGUCUAAGCCUCCAUGGGCCGGUGGGGAGAUCAAAGCUCUACCUCACCAGCCCACAGCAGCAUGGAGGGAGGCAGCAGAGAACCCGGGCUAGGGUUCACUCUCCACUGAACCACCAGGGAAGGCAGCAGGAUGGGAUAUUAACUAAUCUGCCCCCACCUCCACCCAAACAUACAGCACACACACACAAACAGCACCUACACACAUACAGCACACACAG